AUUUAUCGUAAUUUAUAAAUUUGGUUGAUUUUUAAUUAUUAUUUUUUAUUUAAUUUUACAUUUAACCUAUUUAAAUUAAUUUUUAAAAAUUGAGAAAAAUUGAAAAAACAACAAAAUGGGAAGAAAUCCUACGGGAAAAAUCCUACAGGGAAACAAAGCUACCCGCCACAGUAGCCGCGAGACAUGCGCAUAGCGCACACAUCCCAUCUACAUACACACACGCACAACACAAGGACGGGUCUUGCAAGUGUCUUGUUGCGCAUAGGCGGGCCAACUAUGCGUCAACUCACGCGCGGAUUGGUGUCGCACACUGUGGACGCGAAUAGGCCCUGCCCGUUUGGGGCCUGCGCGCAGAAGGCCAGCAAGCACGGCGCUCAGCACGCUUAGGCACUACGAAUGCAGAAGGAGGCCUGUGUGCUAGCAAGCUAGCAUGCAGCGUGCCAGUCGGGGCUUUGCUGCCUCGAGCAUUGCACUAUCACUACCUUGGGCGACGUGCUACUACUACCGUGGAGGAGGCCUUCCUCCCUCGUUUUUCAUGUCGAACAUCUUUUUCUUCUCUCUCUUCACUGAAUUUCACCACUUUAUGUGAAUAUGAUAGUUCCAAAAUUCUAUAAAUAGGCAUUCCCACCCCAUUCUUCCCUACACUUCCAUUCUUUCAUUUUUUUAAACUUAGAGAGAGAAAGAGAGAGAGAGAGAGUAACCUAGUGAGACAAGGAUGAAAAGAAAAGAGGAAUGGUAAAGGAGAAAACAUCAAGGUUUUGGUAAGAAAUUUAGUAUUUAUUUCAAGGUCUUAAGGGAUAUUUUUAGAUAAAAUAAAUUGUUAAACAUGAUGAUUGUGAUUUUGCCUACUUAUACACCUUGUGUUUAUAGUUCAGAUAACUCGAAUUGUUCUUGUUUUCAAGCAUGCUAUGUGAAUUUUAGACACUUGAUGAUUUGCAUAAAAUAAAAUAUAAUAUGAAGUCGGUAUUACUGCCUACUAAAAAUAAAGAAUAAAAAGAAAACGAAAAGAAAAGAGAAAAGUGAAAUGAAACAUGAAUGGUCUGAAAUAUAUGUUUAUAUUGACAUGCAUAUUGCAUCAAGUGUCUCGUUAGACUUUUUAUCUUUGAGGAGUAUCUGUUCCCCUAUCCCUUCGGGGUAUUUGUUUCUCCUUCCCCCAUCUGGUCUGAAAAGACGUAAGAGAAUCACUCCCAGUGGAUGACGACGUACCUUCUAACGAGAGUGGUAACACGAAUAUUUAUUAAGGGUCAUGCUUGACUAAGUACUGUUGUGAUUGUAGAUAUCUAAUAGGGCCACUAUGGUUGGUACGGCUAUAUUCGUAGAUCGUUCCAUGGUUUGGCUAGCUAGAAAUAGGCCUAAACAAAUUGUCAUAUCUGUAUUUGAUCUGGCUAUUCCACUUUGGUAGUUAGAAAUCUGUAUCUACCUUCAGAGAUGGAAAUUGUAAUGACUUUGCGAAGUAUGACACGAAAAUAUGAGCAUUUCAUGAUUUAUUUGAUUUUAUAUAUUAUCUGGCAUGAUGUAUGUUUGUGGGUCUACAUGAUGUUUUCUACAUCUCCAUGCUCAGAAAGUACCGCCCUGACCCUUCUCAUAUCAUUCCUCACGAUGAAGCGUAGGUACAAGCCGAUAUGACUUAUGAUGUUAUUUAAAACUUGUUUUCUUUACUAAGCAUAUAGAACUCACUCUUUCCAUGCCUCCCUCCUAGAUAAAGAAGAGAAUGAUGAACGAUCAGCAAACCUACCCAUUGAAGUUUAUGAGGAUCCUGUGGAUCCACAAAUCUUGAGUGCAUGAUCGUUUCUGCACUCUAAUGAGUCCAAUAACAUAGUAAAAGAAGUAACCUUCUUUUAUAUUUUGCUAUUAUAUUUUGCAGUCACUUAUGACCUCAGUUAUAUGUAUGAAAUUUGAACUCGUAUAUUUAUAAGGGAUUUGUAUUAAUUUGCUCCGCUGUAUGUAAUUUUUAUCAUGUACUCGUAAUUCUAGUUCUGUAUCUGACACCCACAUGCCUUAAUUAGCAUUUAGGAUGUCACAAGUACUUAGCCAAAGGUUACCCCUAACAGAUAUUUACAUCACCACUCUCGUCAGAAGGUACGUCAUCAUCCACAAAGAGCGGUUCUCUCACGUCUUUUCAAACUAGAUGGGGGAGGGAGAAACAAAAAUCUCUCAGAGAUAAAAAGCCUAACGAGAUGCUUGAUGCAUUAUGCAUGUCAAUACAAAUACAUAUAUUUUUUGAACCAUUAAGGCUCAUUCCCCUUCUCUUUUCUCUUUCUUUUUUUGUUAUAUUUUUUAGACAAUAUUACCGGAUUCAUGUUAUUUAAUUUAUAUGAAAAUAAUCAAGUACCUAUAAAUCACAUAACAUGCUUGAAAUCAAGAACAAAUCACUUUAUAGGAACUAUUAAACACAAAACAUGCAAGCACAAAACACAACUUCAUACUUUUUAAAAUGUUAAAAAAUAUACUAAAUUCCUUACCGAAACCUUGAAAUUUUCCUACACAUUUUUUUUUCUUCUUUUCCCCUUCUCUCUCUUUAGAUCACUCCCUCUCUCUCUAAGCUCUUGAAAGAUGGAAGAAUAAAAUGGAAGUGAUGAAGAAAUAAAAAAAAAAAAGGAUCCAUAUUUAUAGAGAAUAGAGACUGUUGAAUGAAAAUCUGGUGAAAAGAAAAAAAGUUGAAUAAAAAAUAAGCGAUUUGACGCAACAUGAUGGCCGUGAAAAUUGGAGGAAAAAUUCCUCCACCAAAAUCGGUUCUGAACCCAAAGUGGUGGCACACCACCCAAGGCAGUGCACGGUGCCUAAAAGGGCAGCGACACAUUACCCAAGGCGACAGUGCACCACACCGUGCUAGCCGUCGCUAUAGGCCUAGCUUGCAGGUGUCGACCAACCCUGCCACACGUAGGAACUAGCCUGCAAGCGCACAAACCUAUCUUGUCGUGCACGUACGCACCGUACGCAAUGCUCGCACGGGGAGCGUCUCCUGCGCGAUUUCUUCCCUCUUUUCGUUUUCUCUUAAAAAUUAUUUUCUUUAAAUAAAAUAAUAUAAAAAUAAAAAUAAUAACAUAUAAAAUUAAAUAAAAAUCAAAAUAUAAAUAUAAAUAAAAAAAUCAAUAUAAAAUUAAAAUUACAAAUUUAAGUUAUGAAUUACAAUAUAAAAUUACAAAAUAAAUUUAAAAAAAUUCAAAUGAACUUAAGGACUGAAUAAAUAAAAAUUUUCAUUUAUAAAUUUAGCACGCGGGGUGUUAUAAAAUCGGUGCUCAUUAAAUAACCCAGACCCCACAAGGGUCCAUUAACCAAAACCCGACCUAGAACGGGGUCCAUUAACUGACUCAGCUCGAUUUGGACCAACCACACUUGAACCUAACUUAGUGGGGGGUCCACUAACUAAAACUCAGCCCAUUCAGGCCCAUUGACUAGGAUUGGGUCAUCAGAUUACCUUCUGAGGGCAAGGCCAAUUUGGUAACCCUCUCGGCCAUUGCCUAAAGGCGACGUAAAAAGCCCAAGCAUUUAUAACAGUUUCUUCCAUUUCCACAACUCAAUUUAAGUGUGCACUUUCAUAUCCACAAAAAAUUCAAAGACAAAAAGACUCGAUAAAAUAUGAUCUUUAAAUAAAGUUCAUUGCAUGCAUGAAAACAAACCAAACAAUCAAGAAAUUUAGUUACCUUUUAAAAAUUUUUAGAUUCUAGAAAACACAAUAGGAGAAUAUGUGAAAAUACUAAGACUCUUAACUAGACCUUCAAGCUUUCAGGUUCAAAAAAUGAGGUUGCUAGCGGUUUGAAGUAGAAAGAAGGUUGCCUGGCAACUUAUGGAUUUUUUAAAAGAUAUUUGAAAAUUUAGAAGAGCUUAAGGGUGAACUCUUGAAGUCUUAAUGAAGAAAGGAUAUCAAGAAGAAAAGAAUAAAGCUUGUCA
rnacentral:lncRNA from 1 species